rnacentral:tRNA from 1 species
UCCUUGAUAGCUCAGUUGGUAAAGAAUCUGCCUGCAAUGCAGGAGACCCUGGUUUGAUUCCUGGGUUGGGAA